rnacentral:rRNA from 1 species
AUUGAACGCUUUCUUCCUUCCUAACACAUGCAAGUCAAGCGGAUGAAGGGAGCUUGCUCCUGGAUUCAGCGGCGGACGGGUGAGUAAUGCCUAGGAAUCUGCCUGGCAGUGGGGGAUAACGUCCGGAAACGGGCGCUAAUACCGCAUACGUCCUGAGGGAGAAAGUGGGGGAUCUUCGGACCUCACGCUAUCAGAUGAGCCUAGGUCGGAUUAGCUAGUUGGUGGGGUAAAGGCCUACCAAGGCGACGAUCCGUAACUGGUCUGAGAGGAUGAUCAGUCACACUGGAACUGAGACACGGUCCAGACUCCUACGGGAGGCAGCAGUGGGGAAUAUUGGACAAUGGGCGAAAGCCUGAUCCAGCCAUGCCGCGUGUGUGAAGAAGGUCUUCGGAUUGUAAAGCACUUUAAGUUGGGAGGAAGGGCAGUAAGUUAAUACCUUGCUGUUUUGACGUUACCAACAGAAUAAGCACCGGCUAACUUCGUG